GUGGCGAGUGGCGAACGGGUGAGUAAUGCGUCGGAACGUACCGAGUAAUGGGGGAUAACGCAGCGAAAGUUGUGCUAAUACCGCAUACGCCCUGAGGGGGAAAGUGGGGGAUCGUAAGACCUCACGUUAUUCGAGCGGCCGACGUCUGAUUAGCUAGUUGGUGAGGUAAUGGCUCACCAAGGCGACGGUCAGUAGCGGGUCUGAGAGGAUGAUCCGCCACACUGGGACUGAGACACGGCCCAGACUCCUACGGGAGGCAGCAGUGGGGAAUUUUGGACAAUGGGGGCAACCCUGAUCCAGCCAUUCCGCGUGAGUGAAGAAGGCCUUCGGGUUGUAAAGCUCUUUCAGCUGGAACGAAACGGUAGAGGCUAAUACCCUCUGCUAAUGACGGUACCGGCAGAAGAAGCACCGGCUAACUACGUGCCAGCAGCCGCGGUAAUACGUAGGGUGCGAGCGUUAAUCGGAAUUACUGGGCGUAAAGCGUGCGCAGGCGGAUUGUUAAGCAAGACGUGAAAUCCCCGGGCUUAACCUGGGAAUGGCGUUUUGAACUGGCAGUCUAGAGUGUGUCAGAGGGGGGUGGAAUUCCACGUGUAGCAGUGAAAUGCGUAGAGAUGUGGAGGAACACCAAUGGCGAAGGCAGCCCCCUGGGAUAACACUGACGCUCAUGUACGAAAGCGUGGGUAGCAAACAGGAUUAGAUACCCUGGUAGUCCACGCCCUAAACGAUGUCAACUGGUUGUUGGGGGAGUGAAAUCCCUUAGUAACGAAGCUAACGCGUGAAGUUGACCGCCUGGGGAGUACGGUCGCAAGAUUAAAACUCAAAGGAAUUGACGGGGACCCGCACAAGCGGUGGAUGAUGUGGAUUAAUUCGAUGCAACGCGGAAAACCUUACCUACCCUUGACAUGUCCAGAAUCCUGCAGAGAUGCGGGAGUGCCCGAAAGGGAAUUGGAACACAGGUCUGCAUGGCUGUCGUCAGCUCGUGUCGUGAGAUGUUGGGUUAAGUCCCGCAACGAGCGCAACCCUUAUCAUUAGUUGCUACGCAAGGGCACUCUAAUGAGACUGCCGGUGACAAACCGGAGGAAGGUGGGGAUGACGUCAAGUCCUCAUGGCCCUUAUGGGUAGGGCUUCACACGUCAUACAAUGGUCGGUACAGAGGGUUGCCAAGCCGCGAGGUGGAGCCAAUCCCAGAAAGCCGAUCGUAGUCCGGAUUGUUCUCUGCAACUCGAGAGCAUGAAGUCGGAAUCGCUAGUAAUCGCGGAUCAGCAUGUCGCGGUGAAUACG
rnacentral:rRNA from 1 species